rnacentral:snRNA from 1 species
AUACCUGGGAGGGGAGACGCCAUGACCAUGAAGGUGGUUUUCCCAGGGUGAAGCUUAUCCAUUGCUCUCCGGAUGUGCUGACCCCUGCGAUUUCCCCUCGACUGAUAAACUUAAUAAACAGUUCUGAUCAGUAGUGUUUG